rnacentral:misc_RNA from 1 species
GAAAUGCGAUAAGUAAUGUGAAUUGCAGAAUUCAGUGAAUCAUCGAAUCUUUGAACGCAUCUUGCGCUCCUUGGUAUUCCUUGGAGCAUGCCUGUUUGAGUAUCAUGAAAUCUUCAAAGUAAAUCUUUUGUUAACUCAAUUGGUUUCUACUUUGGUAUUGGAGGUCUUUGCAGCUUCACACCUGCUCCUCUUUGUUCAUUAGCUGGAUCUCAGUGUUAUGCUUGGUUCCACUCGGCGUGAUAAGUUAUCUAUCGCUGAGGACACUGUAAAAGGUGGCCAAGGUAAAUGCAGAUGAACCGCUUCUAAUAGUCCAUUGACUUGGACAAUACUUUUAUGAUCUGAUCUCAAAUCAGGUAGGACUACCCGCUGAACUUGAGC